rnacentral:rRNA from 1 species
UACGUAGGUGGCAAGCGUUGUCCGGAUUUACUGGGCGUAAAGAGCGCGCAGGCGGUCGUUCAAGUCGCGUGUGAAAGCCCCCGGCUCAACUGGGGAGGGUCACGCGAUACUGAUCGACUCGAAGGCAGGAGAGGGAAGUGGAAUUCCCGGUGUAGUGGUGAAAUGCGUAGAUAUCGGGGGGAAUACCAGUGGCGAAAGCGGCACCCUAGCAUUAGCCUGACGCUCAUGUGCGAAAGCGUGGGGAGCGAACGGG